ACGUGACAUCAUGUAAAAUGGCUAACACAGUGACCCGUCAUUCAAUAUCACUUCGGAAACCAUAUAAGCGCAAAUUUCGAACCGUUUUAUAAAAGUUAAAAGACGUGGAAACCAGUUUUUUUUUUUGGCAAUACAAAGGAAAACCAACCUUCGGGUAAACAUAGGGAGAUAAAUGAACUUUUUCUCCACUUAUAAAUAAAUUAAGAGAAGAAGAGAUAAUAGAUAUCAAGGGGUUCGGAGAAAAAAAAAAGGAGAAGAGAUAAU
rnacentral:lncRNA from 1 species